CAGUCGAGCGGUAGCACAGAGAGCUUGCUCUCGGGUGACGAGCGGCGGACGGGUGAGUAAUGUCUGGGAAACUGCCUGAUGGAGGGGGAUAACUACUGGAAACGGUAGCUAAUACCGCAUAACGUCGCAAGACCAAAGUGGGGGACCUUCGGGCCUCAUGCCAUCAGAUGUGCCCAGAUGGGAUUAGCUGGUAGGUGGGGUAACGGCUCACCUAGGCGACGAUCCCUAGCUGGUCUGAGAGGAUGACCAGCCACACUGGAACUGAGACACGGUCCAGACUCCUACGGGAGGCAGCAGUGGGGAAUAUUGCACAAUGGGCGCAAGCCUGAUGCAGCCAUGCCGCGUGUGUGAAGAAGGCCUUCGGGUUGUAAAGCACUUUCAGCGGGGAGGAAGGCGAUGAGGUUAAUAACCUUGUCGAUUGACGUUACCCGCAGAAGAAGCACCGGCUAACUCCGUGCCAGCAGCCGCGGUAAUACGGAGGGUGCAAGCGUUAAUCGGAAUUACUGGGCGUAAAGCGCACGCAGGCGGUCUGUCAAGUCGGAUGUGAAAUCCCCGGGCUCAACCUGGGAACUGCAUUCGAAACUGGCAGGCUAGAGUCUUGUAGAGGGGGGUAGAAUUCCAGGUGUAGCGGUGAAAUGCGUAGAGAUCUGGAGGAAUACCGGUGGCGAAGGCGGCCCCCUGGACAAAGACUGACGCUCAGGUGCGAAAGCGUGGGGAGCAAACAGGAUUAG
rnacentral:rRNA from 1 species